AGGACGAACGCUGGCGGCGUGCUUAACACAUGCAAGUCGAACGGUAAGGCCCUUCGGGGUACACGAGUGGCGAACGGGUGAGUAACACGUGGGUGAUCUGCCCUGCACUUUGGGAUAAGCCUGGGAAACUGGGUCUAAUACCGAAUAUGACCAUGGGAUGCAUGUUUCGUGGUGGAAAGCUUUUGCGGUGUGGGAUGGGCCCGCGGCCUAUCAGCUUGUUGGUGGGGUGAUGGCCUACCAAGGCUUCGACGGGUA
rnacentral:rRNA from 1 species